rnacentral:rRNA from 1 species
ACAUGCAAGUAGAACGCUGAAGCCUGGUGCUUGCACCGAGCGGAUGAGUUGCGAACGGGUGAGUAACGCGUAGGUAACCUGCCUCUUAGCGGGGGAUAACUAUUGGAAACGAUAGCUAAUACCGCAUAAAAGUCGAUAUCGCAUGAUAUUGAUUUGAAAGGUGCAAUUGCAUCACUAAGAGAUGGACCUGCGUUGUAUUAGCUAGUUGGUGAGGUAACGGCUCACCAAGGCGACGAUACAUAGCCGACCUGAGAGGGUGAUCGGCCACACUGGGACUGAGACACGGCCCAGACUCCUACGGGAGGCAGCAGUAGGGAAUCUUCGGCAAUGGGGGCAACCCUGACCGAGCAACGCCGCGUGAGUGAAGAAGGUUUUCGGAUCGUAAAGCUCUGUUGUAAGAGAAGAACGAGUGUGAGAGUGGAAAGUUCACACUGUGACGGUAACUUACCAGAAAGGGACGGCUAACUACGUGCCAGCAGCCGCGGUAAUACGUAGGUCCCGAGCGUUAUCCGGAUUUAUUGGGCGUAAAGCGAGCGCAGGCGGUUAGAUAAGUCUGAAGUUAAAGGCUGUGGCUUAACCAUAGUACGCUUUGGAAACUGUUUAACUUGAGUGCAGAAGGGGAGAGUGGAAUUCCAUGUGUAGCGGUGAAAUGCGUAGAUAUAUGGAGGAACACCGGUGGCGAAAGCGGCUCUCUGGUUCUGUAACUGACGCU